rnacentral:rRNA from 1 species
AGUGAACGCUGGCGGUAGGCCUAACACAUGCAAGUCGAACGGCAGCACAGUAAGAGCUUGCUCUUACGGGUGGCGAGUGGCGGACGGGUGAGGAAUACAUCGGAAUCUACUUUUUCGUGGGGGAUAACGUAGGGAAACUUACGCUAAUACCGCAUACGACCUACGGGUGAAAGCAGGGGAUCUUCGGACCUUGCGCGAUUGAAUGAGCCGAUGUCGGAUUAGCUAGUUGGCGGGGUAAAGGCCCACCAAGGCGACGAUCCGUAGCUGGUCUGAGAGGAUGAUCAGCCACACUGGAACUGAGACACGGUCCAGACUCCUACGGGAGGCAGCAGUGGGGAAUAUUGGACAAUGGGCGCAAGCCUGAUCCAGCCAUACCGCGUGGGUGAAGAAGGCCUGCGGGUUGUAAAGCCCUUUUGUUGGGAAAGAAAAGCAGCAGGUUAAUACCCCGCUGUUCUGACGGUACCCAAAGAAUAAGCACCGGCUACUUCGUG